rnacentral:lncRNA from 1 species
CUCACAGUGAAAUGCUGAAUACAACAGGUGUAGUAGACCUCACAGUGAAAUGCUGAAUACAACAGGUGUAGUAGACCUCACAGUGAAAUGCUGAAUACAACAGGUGUAGUAGACCUUACAGUGAAAUGCUGAAUACAACAGGUUUAGACCUUACAGUGAAAUGCUGAAUACAACAGGUUUAGACCUUACAGUGAAAUGCUGAAUACAACAGGUUUAGACCUUACAGUGAAAUGCUGAAUACAACAGGUGUAGACCUUACAGUGAAAUGCUGAAUACAACAGGUGUAGUAGACCUUACAGUGAAAUGCUGAAUACAACAGGUGUAGUAGACCUUACAGUGAAAUGCUGAAUACAACAGGUGUAGUAGACCUCACAGUGAAAUGCUGAAUACAACAGGUGUAGACCUUACAGUGAAAUGCUGAAUACAACAGGUGUAGACCUUACAGUGAAAUGCUGAAUACAACAGGUGUAGUAGACCUCACAGUGAAAUGCUGAAUACAACAGGUGUAGUAGACCUUACAGUGAAAUGCUGAAUACAACAGGUGUAGACCUUACAGUGAAAUGCUGAAUACAACAGGUGUAGUAGACCUCACAGUGAAAUGCUGAAUACAACAGGUGUAGACCUCACAGUGAAAUGCUGAAUACAACAGGUGUAGACCUUACAGUGAAAUGCUGAAUACAACAGGUGUAGACCUUACAGUGAAAUGCUGAAUACAACAGGUGUAGUAGACCUCACAGUGAAAUGCUGAAUACAACAGGUGUAGUAGACCUUACAGUGAAAUGCUGAAUACAACAGGUGUAGUAGACCUCACAGUGAAAUGCUGAAUACAAC